GCAUGUCUAAGUAUAAGCAAUUAUACGGCGAAACUGCGAAUGGCUCAUUAAAUCAGUUAUUGUUUAUUUGAUAGUACCUUACUACUUGGAUAACCGUGGUAAUUCUAGAGCUAAUACAUGCUAAAAACCCCGACUUCGGGAGGGGUGUAUUUAUUAGAUUAAAAACCAAUGCCCUCCGGGGCUUCUUGGUGAUUCAUGAUAACUUCUCGGAUCGCACGGCCUUGCGCCGGCGACGGUUCAUUCAAAUUUCUGCCCUAUCAACUUUCGACGGCUGGGUAUUGGCCAGCCGUGGUGACAACGGGUAACGGAGGGUUAGGGCUCGACCCCGGAGAAAACGCCUGAGAAACGGCGUUUACAUCCAAGGAAGGCAGCAGGCGCGCAAAUUACCCAAUGCCGACUCGGCGAGGUAGUGACGAUAAAUACUGGUACGGGGCUCUUUCGGGUCUCGUAACUGGAAUGAGUACAAUUUAAAUCCCUUAACGAGGAACAAUUGGAGGGCAAGUCUGGUGCCAGCAGCCGCGGUAAUUCCAGCUCCAAUAGCGUAUAUUAAAAUUGUUGAGAUUAAAAAGCUCGUAGUUGAACCUUGGGCCUGGCUGGCCGGUCCGCCUCACCGCGUGCACUGGUCCGGCCGGGCCUUUCCCUCCGGGGAACCCCAUGCCCUUUACUGGGCGUGGCGGGGAACCGGGACUUUUACUUUGAAAAAAUUAGAGUGUUCAAAGCAGGCCUAUGCUCGGAUACAUUAGCAUGGAAUAAUAGAAUAGGACGUGUGGUUCUAUUUUGUUGGUUUCUAGGACCGCCGUAAUGAUUAAUAGGGACAGUCGGGGGCGUCAGUAUUCAAUUGUCAGAGGUGAAAUUCUUGGAUUUAUUGAAGACUAACUACUGCGAAGGCAUUCGUCAAGGAUGUUUUCAUUAAUCAGGAACGAAAGUUAGGGGAUCGAAGACGAUCAGAUACCGUCGUAGUCUUAACCGUAAACUAUUAAGUCUAGGGAUCGGACGGUGGUUCUAUUUGCCCCGUCCGGCACCUUACACGAAAGUAUAAGAGCUUAUUCUGGGGAAAAUACGGU
rnacentral:rRNA from 1 species